UACGUAGGGGGCAAGCGUUGUCCGGAAUCAUUGGGCGUAAAGCGCGUGUAGGCGGCUCGGUAAGUCCGCUCUGAAAGUCCAGGGCUCAACCCUGGGAUGCGGGUGGAUACUGCCGGGCUCGAGUCCGGAAGAGGCGAGUGGAAUUCCCGGUGUAGCGGUGAAAUGCGCAGAUAUCGGGAGGAACACCAAUGGCGAAAGCAGCUCGCUGGGACGUGACUGACGC
rnacentral:rRNA from 1 species